rnacentral:rRNA from 1 species
AUAGUGCAGACGAGGGGCAGCAUAAAUUACUUGUAAUUUGAUGGCGACCGGCGACGGGUGCGUAACGCGUAUGCAACUUACCUUUUACUAGAGAAUAGCCAAGAGAAAUUUUGAUUAAUGCUCUAUGUUCUUAUUUACUCGCAUGAGUAAAUAAGCAAAGCUCCGGCGGUAAAAGAUGGGCAUGCGUCCUAUUAGCUUGUAGGUGAGGUAAUGGCUCACCUAAGCUCCGAUAGGUAGGGGUCCUGAGAGGGAGAUCCCCCACACUGGUACUGAGACACGGACCAGACUUCUACGGAAGGCAGCAGUAAGGAAUAUUGGACAAUGGAGGCAACUCUGAUCCAGCCAUGCCGCGUGAAGGAAGACGGCCUUAUGGGUUGUAAACUUCUUUUAUACAGGAAGAAACCUUUCCACGUGUGGAAAGCUGACGGUACUGUAAGAAUAAGGAUCGGCUAACUCCGUGCCAGCAGCCGCGGUAAUACGGAGGAUCCAAGCGUUAUCCGGAAUUAUUGGGUUCAAAGGGUCCGCAGGCUGUUUGUUAAGUCACAGGUGAAAUCCUACCGCUCAACGGUAGAACUGCCUUUGAUACUGGCAAACUUGAGUUAUUGUGAAGUAGUUAGAAUGUGUAGUGUAGCGGUGAAAUGCAUAGAUCUUACACAGAAUACCGAUUGCGAAAGCAGAUUACUAACACUAUACUGACGCUGGAGGACGAAAGAGUGGGUAGCGAACAGGAAUACAUGCCCGGAUAGUCACGCGGGAACGAUGUCCAUAACUGUCCGAGUUCUUGGUCGCUGA